GCCCGUGUGGCGGAAUGGUAGACGCAGUAGACUUAAAAUCUGCGAACCGCAAGGUUGUGGGGGUUCGAGUCCCUCCACGGGCACCA
rnacentral:tRNA from 1 species